CGCUGUUGUCAUGCAGUCGUUAUAAUCAGAGAGGAGAGACAUACAGAGCUGUAACUGACCGUUGUAAACACUGCAACCUCGUACCCAGGGCUUCUGCGCUUAUUGCUCUCAGAAGCCCUGGGAUAAUCCAACUCAGAACGUGAUUUGAUUGGUUAAUGCGAAUACAAUGAAAGUACCGGAAGUUAUUCAUUAACCGGGUGAUAUUUUGGCAACAUGGCUGCUAUCACAAGGAGUGUAUACAAAAGUUAAAUGCUGGUUUUUGCAUGAAAAUACUUUUUUAAGCCAAAUUCUGGGCUAUUUUGAAAAGAGCAAAAGAAGAAAUGGACUAUUUGUAUUUGUAAAUAAGCAAGAAUGGCG